ACGGGAGGCAGCAGUGGGGAAUAUUGCACAAUGGGCGAAAGCCUGAUGCAGCAACGCCGCGUGAGUGAUGAAGGCCUUCGGGUCGUAAAACUCUGUCCUCAAGGAAGAUAAUGACGGUACUUGAGGAGGAAGCCCCGGCUAACUACGUGCCAGCAGCCGCGGUAAUACGGAGGGGGCUAGCGUUAUCCGGAUUUACUGGGCGUAAAGGGUGCGUAGGCGGUCUUUCAAGUCAGGAGUGAAAGGCUACGGCUCAACCGUAGUAAGCGCUUGAAACUGGGAGACUUGAGUGCAGGAGAGGAGAGUGGAAUGCCUAGUGUAGCGGUGAAAUGCGUAGAUA
rnacentral:rRNA from 1 species